rnacentral:rRNA from 1 species
GACGAACGCUGGCGGCGUGCCUAAUACAUGCAAGUAGAACGCAGUUGCGAACGGGGGAGUAACGCGUAGGUAACUACCUAUUAGAGGGGGAUAACUAUUGUAAACGAUAGCUAAUACCGCCUACAAGGAGAUGGACCUGCGUUGUAUUUGCUAGUAGGUAGGGGAAUGGCCUACCUAGGCAACGAUACAUAGCCGCCCUGGGGAGGUGAUAGGGCAGCCUUGGAUUGAGAAACGGCCCCGACUCCUACGGGAGGCAGCAGAAGGGAAUCAUUGGCAAUUGGGGGCACCCCUACCGAGACACGCCGCGUGAGUGGAGUAGGUUUUCGGAUCGUAAAGCUCUGUUGUUAAGGAAGCGGUACUUAACCAGGAAGGAACGGCUAACUACGUGCCAGCCGCCGCGGUAAUUC